ACCGCGUAUGGCUCAUUACACCAGGUAUCAUCUACUUGAUUUAGACGUUACCCUUACAUGGAUAACUGCGGUAAUUCUGGAGCUAAUACAUGCAUUAAUGCUGGGUUACGUUUUCGUAACUCAGUGCACUUAUAGAACAAAACCAAGCGAUUUCGGUCGUUUUUUGUUGACUCUGAAUAAUUCCGCUGAUCGUAUGGUCUCGUACCGUCGAUUUGUCAUUCGAGUAUCUGCCCUAUCACACUUUCGAUGUUAGUGUAUAGUUCUAACAUGGUGUUGACGGGUAACGGAGAAUUAGGGUUCGACUCCCGAGAAAAUGCCUGAGAAACGGCUUUUACAUCCUAGGAAGGCAGCAGGCGCGAAAAUUACCCACUCUCAGUUCGAGGAGGUAGUGACAAGAAAUGACGAAACUUAUUCCUUCGGGAGUGAGUCAUUGGAAUGGUUUGAAUUUAAACUAUUCAAAGAUUAUCUAUGAGAGGGCAAGUCUGGUGCCAGCAGCCGCGGUAAUUCCAGCUCUCAUACUGCAUUGAAUUGUUGUUGCGGUUAAAAAGCUCGUAGUUGGAUUUGUACUCGUUGACAUGGUGUUUCCUUCGGAAAUUACUAUGCUCAUGAGUUUGAUGGACGAUUUUCAGUGGGUCCUUUACGGGGCUCACUGUGAUUGUCGAGUUUACUUUGAAUAAAUCAGAGUGCUCAAAACAGGCGUUUUCGCUUGUAUGGUUUUGCAUGGAAUAAUAGAACAGGACUUUGGUGUCUGUUUUAUUGGUUUUAACCACCAAUGUAAUGAUUAAAAGGAACAAACGGGGGCAUUUGUAUCACUGCGCGAGAGGAAAAAUUCAUGGA
rnacentral:rRNA from 1 species